rnacentral:rRNA from 1 species
AGUGAACGCUGGCGGUAGGCCUAGCACAUGCAAGUCGAACGGCAGCACAGUAAGAACUUGCUCUUACGGGUGGCGAGUGGCGGACGGGUGAGGAAUACAUCGGAAUCUACUUUUUCGUGGGGGAUAACGUAGGGAAACUUACGCUAAUACCGCAUACGACCUACGGGUGAAAGCAGGGGAUCUUCGGACCUUGCGCGAUUGAAUGAGCCGAUGUCGGAUUAGCUAGUUGGCGGGGUAAAGGCCCACCAAGGCGACGAUCCGUAGCUGGUCUGAGAGGAUGAUCAGCCACACUGGAACUGAGACACGGUCCAGGCUCCUACGGGAGGCAGCAGUGGGGAAUAUUGGACAAUGGGCGCAAGCCUGAUCCAGCCAUACCGCGUGGGUGAAGAAGGCCUUCGGGUUGUAAAGCCCUUUUGUUGGGAAAGAAAAGCAGCAGGUUAAUACCCCGCUGUUCUGACGGUACCCAAAGAAUAAGCACCGGCUAACUUCGUG